GACGAACGCUGGCGGCGCGCCUAACACAUGCAAGUCGAACGAGCGAGAGAGAGCUUGCUUUCUCGAGCGAGUGGCGAACGGGUGAGUAACGCGUGAGGAACCUGCCUCAAAGAGGGGGACAACAGUUGGAAACGACUGCUAAUACCGCAUAAGCCCACGGCUCGGCAUCGAGCAGGGGGAAAAGGAGCAAUCCGCUUUGAGAUGGCCUCGCGUCCGAUUAGCUAGUUGGUGAGGUAACGGCCCACCAAGGCGACGAUCGGUAGCCGGACUGAGAGGUUGAACGGCCACAUUGGGACUGAGACACGGCCCAGACUCCUACGGGAGGCAGCAGUGGGGAAUAUUGCACAAUGGGGGAAACCCUAAUGCAGCGACGCCGCGUGGAGGAAGAAGGUCUUCGGAUUGUAAACUCCUGUUGUUGGGGAAGAUAAUGACGGUACCCAACAAGGAAGUGACGGCUAACUACGUG
rnacentral:rRNA from 1 species